rnacentral:tRNA from 1 species
UAGACAGAAGCCUAUAGGUUAUGGCAUCUAACUGUUAAUUAGAGUGUUAUGGGAUCGAAGCCCAUCUGUCUAG